GCUCCAGCAAAUAUAGCUCAGUUGGAAGAGCAUGGAAAUUCUUAAUCUCAGGGCAGUGGGUUCGAGUCCCGUGCUGGGCA